CGUUGGGGUUUUCUGUGCUGUGAUAAGGUUUGUUCGUUUGCAUUUGGCGUCUGCGUUGCCUUUAUGAGCUGUAGCGCUCACUGCGAAAAUUGUCACUUUAUUUCUGAAGUGGGUGAGAUGACGAGCCCGGCAGGAGGAACGAAACACUCAUCUGUGAAAGUUGCAACUUCAUUUCUGAAAUUUCCCAUUUUGGCCACGCUUCACAUGCGACACAUAUAGAAGUACACAGCAGCUUCCCCCCUUACCUGCAAGGGAUAUGUUCAGAGAUCUCCAGUGGAUGCCUGAAACUAUGGAUAGUACUGAAUCCUAUAUAUACUGUUUUUUUCUAUACAUAUAAUAAAGUUUAUAAAUUAGGUACAGUAAGAGAUUAAAAACUCAAAAUAUGAGUUAAACUCAUAUGCAAUAUAAUAUAUGCAAUAAAAUUGAAAUACUGUCAAACUCU
rnacentral:lncRNA from 10 species